rnacentral:tmRNA from 1 species
ACCCUAGCGUUGACGCCCGAUCGCGCAUAUAUUGGGCAGGUCGCAAGACGAUGGCGCUGAACCUUAGAGCGGACUGCGGACAGACCCGGGGGCAGUACCCGGCGCCUCCACCCCAACAGCCACAUUUCCGGGCUGUUGCGGCGGGGGCGAAAUAGGAUCGAUGGUCGCGAAGAAGCUCUGAGCUGUGCUCGGCAUGAUACCGCCGUUAUCGGGUCAAAACCUAAAUGCAAACGAUAACGUUCGCAUGAACGAAGUGCGCCUCGCGGCGUAACCGUUCGGGGUAGGUCCACCUUGCAACAGAACGGCCAUGGCC